GAAUGAGCUGCAGACCUGUUCAAAGUGUGCACCACGGGAGUUCGCUUGUUCUUCCAAACCAUUGCCUUCUGUGUCUACUAGAGGAAGAGAUUGUGCUUCUCAUCCUACGACCCUACUGACGAUGUUCCAGACCCAUCCUUCAUGUGUAUAUAAGUUGAUUCCAGGAAACGAGCGCCAGAGGAGAAAAGGAAUCGUUCAAUCCCACAAUCUCGCGCAUCGCAGUGGGAGUCACCCCACAGACUGCUAUGUGCGUUGAGAUCUCCAAGGAGAAGAUAUGGUUCUGGAAGUUCAUCAGGCGCUGCCACUACGCGUUGAGCUACCGUCGUAGAAAAGGCUUGAGGUCAAGUGCUCAAAGGCUUGAGGUCAAGUGACAGCUACGCAUGUAUUGGCGACAGAGUUGUUUUGAGCGCAUGCAGCGACCUGAUCUGCCAACACAUUUCCUCUGAUAUCACAAAGCCCUGGUACCCAGCACACUACAACAUGUGAUUUGAGAGCGUACAUUAUGCAUUAAAGAGUGUAAAGGGACGCAAGGA
rnacentral:lncRNA from 1 species